AUGGGCCGCGAAUGAAACAAGAUGAAACAAGAUGAAACAAUGUACGGGCGGAGAUGGGCCGCGCGCAGUGCACCCGGCGUGACGUGCAUGCACGAGCGAAAAGAACUGAAUUAAUCCAAUCAUUGAAAUAAUUUUGUUUGCAGAGGCAAUUCGCGCAAGGGAGGUAUAGGAAUUUGAUGGCUUGCGAGUGACAGCACGAGCCGAAUUUAUUGCCCGUGGAAGUACCCACGAUAGGAAUACACUGUUGGGAACAUGGUGGCGCCGCUGACGGUACCUAUGUAAGUGGAAUUACUUUAUUGGAAGUACCCACGACGGGGAAAAUAGUCUCUCUAGUAUUGUCGGUGAAUGGUGAUGGUGGUGGUGGCGAUGGCUACUUUCCUCUGCUCAGAGAGAACCCCUGCAUGUCCUUCGUCGUGAUGCGAAAGAGCAGUGGAUGCAGAAAAUGUCUCUACCUGCCAGGAUGGUAUAAGAGCACGAACUGAAUCACCUGUUGGUGCAGAAGGCUUGGAGGACUGCUUUUGAAACAGUUGUUCAAAUUUCCUGCACCUCUUCGUAGCCGUUGUCUGAUUGCUGCAUUCUGGGGAGACUGAAGUUAAGUAUUAUCAAUUUAUCAUGCCUAUACAAGCCUUGCCAGUGUCUCGAUAGGAGAAGCAGAUACAUGAUUACACCACUUGGGUUUUGACCUUCUUUGGCCGGGGCGAAUGUCGAAGGAAAGACUCCCUCUGGGCCAAGGUGUUGGCGACAGUUGAGAGUUGUCCUCUAUUUUGCAGCGGGGGACAGCAUGGCAUAUUUGGUGCCGGAAAGAGUGCAGUUGCACUUUUCAUGUUACUGUAAAAUUUGCUAGGUCAAUCCCUUGAAGCUGGAGACUGCUGAUACUGCUGCUCAAACGGCUGCUGCUGUUACUCUCUGCUGCUACCAUGGUCGUUGCUUUGUAUCAAUGGCGAAAAUUCUCAGAUGAGCUUUGGGUCCGGGCACUAGAACCCUGCUGCUGCCUCUGCAGCAGUUGUAGAAAGUUUUAUAAUACCAGUGUCGAUGGUGAACUUCUGCUCUUUUUUUUAUCCCAGACACUUUGUGCUCAAGAGACUGUUAGGUCUUUGUGGUGUUGUCGUUGCUGUUUGGUUAUACUAGUUGGCGUCUGUUUGGAAAUAUAUUGUGCUUUUCUGUGUGUUCAUGUGAACGUAGAAGCCCUCACCGAAACCAACACUACGUUGCUGUGUUGUUUUCUUCCAAGGUCGGGCACAGUAAAGGAGACGACUCUGUAUCAAGGCACUACCCAGAGGGAGGAUGUUGGCCUUCUCCUGAUGGGAAAAUGUCUUCUUUCUCAUGGCGUGGCCAGGACUGCACUGACCCUACCAUCCACUCUACCUCUCCGGAAAGGGACUUGACAACCAGUCAAGAUGGAUGUGCAGAGAUAUACCAGCGCUUCUAGCAUUAACUGCCAAUUUGCACUGACGCAGCAAGACUCCCAACAGUCAAUAUUGUUUUACUUGAACAUCAUACUCUCGCCCAACUUUGUUUCACCAACAAAGGUUUAUUCUCCAAAGUAUUUCUAAUUGAUUGUGUAUGAGUUUCAUACUACUGUCA